UGCGCAGGUGGUCGGGUAAGUCUGAUGUGAAAUCCCGCAGCUUAACUGCGGAAUGGCAUUGGAUACUAUUCGGCUAGAGGGUUGGAGGGGGGACUGGAAUUCUCGGUGUAGCAGUGAAAUGCGUAGAUAUCGAGAGGAACACCAGUGGCGAAGGCGAGUCCCUGGACAACUCCUGACGUUGAGGCACGAAAGCUAGGGAGCAAACA
rnacentral:rRNA from 1 species